rfam:Schistosoma rodhaini strain Burundi genome assembly, scaffold: SROB_scaffold0003927
AUAUAGCUGACGAGUCUCAAAUAGGACGAAAUGCGCGUCCUGGAU